rnacentral:lncRNA from 1 species
AAGGCCAUGACUGUGCUCCGCGUGCUGCUCCGCCAGGCAGACAGGCAGAAGGUGGCCCCCACUGCCCUGCGGCUGCCUGAGCUACUGCUGCCCUUCUUCCACGAGUCCGGCUGCACGAGGGAGCUGUCCAUCCUUCUCUGUAAGGAUGCCAUGGAGGUUGCAGGGGACACCCAGAGAGGGAAGAUGAAGAAGGAAGCACGGAACAUCGUCCUCCCUCUCUUCAUCCACCUGCAUGACCAGGACCAGAGCGUGGCUCAGGCCUCCUGGGAAGCCCUUCUUUGCGCAGCCAAGCUGCUGAAGCGCAAGCGCCUCAGGUACUUGCUGAAGACAGCGCAGACACAGAGGAUCGGCGAGUGCCUGGUGAGGACAAGUGGCCCAGAGUUCCCAAGACCUGGCCCAAACGAGGCCUGCCAGCCAUGGCCCGGGGCGUGGGGCCGGUCCCUGUGCCUGUACCACGGCUGCGGGCCGCAGGGCACAGCCUGCCGCCGUUUGCGCCCCUCUUUCCCUCAAGCGCGUGGCGGCUCGGCCUCUUCUGCGGCCUCCUCUCUCUCCCGGAGGCCUGGCCUGCUCCUGCUGGCUGGCUGUGGGGGCCGGGGUCCCGGCAGCUGAAGGCAGCGGAGGCUGGUCCCAGGCACGGGGCUGGCCUGCCCCAGGGGGAGAGUCUGUGUCAGCCCCAUCCACGGGUGCUGUCUUCCAGCUGGUGGGCCACGGCGGCAGAGUGGAGCAGUUCCUGGAGCAGAGCCUGUCCUACCUGUGGAGCCCCCAGGAGCCCCUGCAAGAGGCGGCCAUCAGGUUCAUUGGUGAGCCACGAGCCCUGGCCCUUCUGUGCCGCACAGCAGCUUGGCCCCGGCGCUGGCUGCUGCUGACUGAGCCACGUGCCCGUGGAGCCAUGCCGGCCCAAGGUGGGGCCGGAGCGCUCGCGGCACUCCCUGCUGCCUUCCGCCAGCCCUGCCCACAUAGCGGGUGCUGGUGGGAGCCUUGCUGGGUGCCUCACAGCCUCCUUGGGUGCUGCAGUUGCGGGUGCGUGGCCAGGCCGGCAGGAAUGCUGGGGGAAUUGGGCUGUGCUGGGGAAUGGGCUGUGCUGGGGGGAUGGGCUCUGCUGGGGGGAUGGGCUGGCCAGUGGGAUGUGUGACGGGCUGUGUGUGCCUAGGGCUUGCCGGGCAGCACUUGAGAGAUGGGCGUGAGGAGAAGCUGGACAACAUCAUCGAGGGUGAGUGCGGUGUGGCAGGGAGAAGAAAAGUCCCUGGGCAGCGAGCAGCAAGCCCGGUGCCAACCCAGGAGGGCUCUGCAAGCCCUGUGGACAACGGGCAGUACGGGCGAAGCAAGGAGCAUUUGCUGCCAGCCCCUUUGCAGCUGAUCCCGCCGUCUCCCUGCUGGCCCUGGGAAGAGCUGUGUGGGGUGGCCUCGGCAGGAGGGUUCCCCGGCUUGCUUUGCUCAGACGUGGGCUCUGACCUCCACUCUGUUCUCUUCCGUGUCAGCCCUGAGGAGUUUGGAGGACACCGGCAGCCCUUCUGUUUCCACGCUGGUGGCUGAAACGGUCCGGAUCCUGAGGACUGCCCCUGGAUUCAGCCUGCAGGCUGUGCGCUCUCGGCUCUUCAGCAUGUGAGAGAGGAGGCUGCACGCCCCAAGAGCUGGCUGGCUGCGCUGCUGCAGCUGUGCUCAGGGCUGACCCCAGCUCCGGCCCUCGGGGUCAGCCCUCCACCCCGCACGUGCUCCUGGUCAGCCCCUCCGCUGGGCUUCCCCAAGAGACACAGCCCUCUUGCUUCACUGUGGAGGUGCUGAAGGAAGCCAGUGCUCCAUGAGCUUCACUCGCAAUAGAGAAGCCUGUGUAAUUUACUGUAUUUACUAAUAGAAAAUAAAUAUUGUCUCUAUUACUGAUGC